AGGCGACGACGGGUAGCCGGCCUGAGAGGGCGACCGGCCACACUGGGACUGAGACACGGCCCAGACUCCUACGGGAGGCAGCAGUGGGGAAUAUUGCACAAUGGGCGAAAGCCUGAUGCAGCGACGCCGCGUGAGGGAUGACGGCCUUCGGGUUGUAAACCUCUUUCAGCAGGGAAGAAGCGAAAGUGACGGUACCUGCAGAAGAAGCGCCGGCUAACUACGUGCCAGCAGCCGCGGUAAUACGUAGGGCGCAAGCGUUGUCCGGAAUUAUUGGGCGUAAAGAGCUCGUAGGCGGCUUGUCACGUCGGAUGUGAAAGCCCGGGGCUUAACCCCGGGUCUGCAUUCGAUACGGGCUAGCUAGAGUGUGGUAGGGGAGAUCGGAAUUCCUGGUGUAGCGGUGAAAUGCGCAGAUAUCAGGAGGAACACCGGUGGCGAAGGCGGAUCUCUGGGCCAUUACUGACGCUGAGGAGCGAAAGCGUGGGGAGCGAACAGGAUUAGAUACCCUGGUAGU
rnacentral:rRNA from 1 species